UCCGGUUUGUCACCGGCAGUCCCGUUAGAGUGCCCAACUGAAUGUGGCAACUAAUGGCAAGGGUUGCGCUCGUUGCGGGACUUAACCCAACAUCUCACGACACGAGCUGACGACAGCCAUGCAGCACCUGUGUCCAGGUUCCCUUUCGGGCACACUCCCAUCUCUGGGAGCUUCCUGGCAUGUCAAGGGUAGGUAAGGUUCUUCGCGUUGCCUCGAAUUAAACCACACGCUCCGCUGCUUGUGCGGGCCCCCGCCUAUUCCUUUGAGUUUCAACCUUGCGGCCGGACUCCCCAGGCGGAGUGCUUAACGCGUUAGCUGCGACACCGGCAGGCAAGCCCACCAACGUCCAGCACUCAUCGUUUACAGCGUGGACUAC
rnacentral:misc_RNA from 1 species